GAUGAACGCUGGUGGCGUGCCUAAUACAUGCAAGUCGAGCGAACGGACGAGAAGCUUGCUUCUCUGAUGUUAUCGGCGGACGGGUGAGUAACACGUGGAUAACCUACCUAUAAGACUGGGAUAACUUCGGGAAACCGGAGCUAAUACCGGAUAAUAUUUUGAACCGCAUGGUUCAAAAGUGAAAGACGGUCUUGCUGUCACUUAUAGAUGGAUCCGCGCUGCAUUAGCUAGUUGGUAAGGUAACGGCUUACCAAGGCAACGAUGCAUAGCCGACCUGAGAGGGUGAUCGGCCACACUGGAACUGAGACACGGUCCAGACUCCUACGGGAGGCAGCAGUAGGGAAUCUUCCGCAAUGGGCGAAAGCCUGACGGAGCAACGCCGCGUGAGUGAUGAAGGUCUUCGGAUCGUAAAACUCUGUUAUUAGGGAAGAACAUAUGUGUAAGUAACUGUGCACAUCUUGACGGUACCUAAUCAGAAAGCCACGGCUAACUACGUG
rnacentral:rRNA from 1 species